rnacentral:rRNA from 1 species
UACAGAGGGUGCAAGCGUUAAUCGGAAUUACUGGGCGUAAAGCGUGCGUAGACGGUAGCGUAAGUCGGGUGUGAAAGCCCCGGGCUCAACCUGGGAAUUGCAUUCGAGACUGCUCUGCUAGGGUGCGGAAGAGGAAAGUGGAAUUCCGAGUGUAGCGGUGAAAUGCGUAGAUAUUCGGAGGAACACCAGUGGCGAAAGCGACUUUCUGGGACGUUCCUGACGCUGAGGUUCGAAAGCUCGGGGAGCAAACAGG